rnacentral:rRNA from 1 species
CCUACGGGAGGCUGCAGUGGGGAAUAUUGGGCAAUGGGCGCAAGCCUGACCCAGCAACGCCGCGUGAAGGAAGAAGGCUUUCGGGUUGUAAACUUCUUUUCUGAGGGACGAAGAAAGUGACGGUACCUCAGGAAUAAGCCACGGCUAACUACGUGCCAGCAGCCGCGGUAAUACGUAGGUUGCAAGCGUUAGUCGGAUUGGUUGGGUGUAAGGGGCGUGUAGGCGGGAAAGCAAGUCAGAUGUGAAAACUCAGGGCUCAACCCAGAGACUGCAUUUGAAACUGUUUUUCUUGAGUGCUGGAGAGGCAAUCGGAAUUCCGUGUGUAGCGGUGAAAUGCGUAGAUAUACGGAAGAACACCAGUGGCGAAGGCAGAUUGCUGGACAGUAACUGACGCUGAGGCGCGAAAGCGUGGGGAGCGAACAGGAUUAGAUACCCUAGUAGUC